CCCUUAGAUGUUCUGGGCCGCACGCGCGCUACACUGACGAAGUCAGCGAGCAUGUCCUACGCCGACAGGUGCGGGGAAUCUUGUCAAACUUCGUCGUGAUGGGGAUUGAUUUUUGAAAUUCUUGAUCAUAAACGAGGAAUUCCUAGUAAGCGCAAGUCAGCAGCUUGCGUUGAUUACGUCCCUGCCCUUUGUACACACCGCCCGUCGCUACUACCGAUUGAAUGGUUUAGUGAGAUCUUCGGAUUGGCGCCACUGCAGCUCAGCAAUGGGCUUGGUGGAUGCCGAAAAGUUGAUCAAACUCGAUCAUUUAGAGGAAGUAAAAGUCGUAACA
rnacentral:rRNA from 1 species